AGUAUUGCAGGAGCAAAGUUCUCCGGUUUCUUGGAUUUCCCCCCUCUCCAGUUUGGAAUGGGAGGAACCAGUAUAUCAUGUGACCAAGUCUGGCAAGUCACGUGACGAGGAAGAAACUGUAGCCGGGCCGCAGGAAAGCUUUUAUCUCUGGCGGAGCUCCUCGUAACCUUGGCGAUGCGCUCUCAGCAGCGGAGGGUUGAAAUUAUGUCAUUUUUCUCUCAGAUACCUUAGUCUCGGGUGGUAUCCUGUGAUGGAGAUGUGGGUCCUCUCUUACCAUGUCUGGCUGGCGGCGCCCCAGAUGCCAUGUGAUGACCAUUUGAAGACCAGCCUGUUGGACAUCAGGUGUGCAGCAUUAUAACUCUGACUGGAAGCUCUGAGUACCUGGGCAGGGUUGUGGACACACAGACCUCACACAGGGAAACUGAUGGCCACCAUGUCACACACUGCAGUGGAAACCAUUCACAGAGGAUCCAAUGUGAGUGCCCACCUGGAGUUGUGCAGCAGUGCAGCCCUACAGGAGUACAGAUGGAGUGAGAGCUGCUUUUCUGGGAGAAAUCAGCUGUUAUGUCAUGAGGACAAUUAAGAAACUCUAUGGGACUUCCCUGGUGGCGCAGUGGUUAAGAAUACGCCUGCCAAUGCAGGGCACACAGGUUCGAGCCCUCUUCCGGGAAGAUCCCACAUGCCACAGAACAGCUAAGCCUGUAUACCAUAACUGCUGAGCCUGUGCUCUAGAGCCCGUGAGCCACAACUACUGAAGCCCGCACACCUAGAGCCCGUGCUCCGCAGCAAGAGAAGCCACUGCAAUGAGAAGCCCACGCACCACAAUGAAGAGUAGCUCCCACUCACCGCAACUAGAGAAAGCCUGAAGACCCAACGCAGCCAUAAAUAAAUAAAUAAAUAAAUAAAUUUUUUUCAAAAAGAAAAGAAACUCUAUGGAGCACUCCACAUGGCAAUAAACUGAGCUCUCCUGCCACAAGCCAGUGAAAAACAGACAUCCAGACAAGAGCCAUGUGAGUGAGUUCCUCCAGCCCCAGUUAAGCCUUCAGAUGACUACAGCCCCAGCCAACACCUUGACUGAAACCUCAUGAGAGACCUGAGCUAGAACCACCUGACUCUCAGAAAUUGUAUGAGUGUUUUCAGCAGAGAAGUUUUUAACUAUGAGGAGUACGCGGGCCUCUCACUGCUAUGGCCUCUCCCAUUGCAGAGCACAGGCUCCGGAUGCGCAGGCUCAGCGGCCAUGGCUCACGGGCCCAGCCACUCUGCGGCAUGUUGGAUCUUCCCAGACCGGGGCACAAACCCGUGUCCCCUGCAUCGGCAGGCGGACUCUCAACCACUGCGCCACCAGGGAAGCCCCAGUGUAUCUUUUAUUUAUUUUCUUGCAUUACUGCACUGGCUAAAACUUCCAAUGAUGUUGAAUAGGAGCUGUGAGAAUGGACAACUUUCCCUUGUGCCUGAUGUUGGGGAAAAGCAUUCAGUAUUUCAUGAUUAAAUAUGAUGUUAGUUGUAGGUUUUCAACUUCAUCAGGUUGAGGAAGUUCCCUUCUAUUCAUAUUUUGCUGAUAGUUAUCAUGAAUGGAUAUCAUCACAUGCCUUUUCUUCAUGUAUUGAGAUGAUCACAUGAAUUUUUUUCUUUACUCUGUUAAGAUGGUAAAUUUCAUUGAUUGAUUUUCAACCCGUAUAUGCUAGCCUUGCAUUCACAGGAUGAACUCCUCUUGGAUGUGAUUAUUACAUUUUUUACAUGCUGCUUAAUUCGAUUUGAUAAUGUAUUGUUAUAGAUUUUCCCCUCUGUGUUCAUGGGGGACAUUGGUUUGCAGUUUUUCUUUCUCGUUGUGCCUUUGAAACUGAGGGCAAUCAUCAGUUAGAUCCAUUAAACUUGUAAACUG